AUAUUUUCAAUUUUGUGUCACACAAACUUCUCUUCAUGUUUGCAAAUGGACUAGGAAAAUGAUGUUCUUUAUAGAGAUUGUAAGCUUUUGAUGUGCCUAAAAUGAAAUGAGGGGUUAUACCUUAAUGAAUCUCAUUCUGGGUGAAAAUGACAUGUGAUUGUAAGAACACAUGCAUCCUUCAGCAGCAACUGUACAACUGCAACAUUUGCUUUCCUUAAUCUAUCAAAAAAACUUUAGCCUUUUGUAAUUUACUCAAUAGUAUUUCCUGUCUAAUUUGUAUUUCUUAAAAACAGCAUCCCAUUCUCUAUCGAUGACCUUUCUAAUUCACUGCAAGAGAAAGACUUUAUGGAUGUUGAUCCAGCAGAGGAACUACUUGGGAAUCCAGCUUUCCAAUUUUUACACUAGUAAGGCUAGGGAAACUCAAGCUUUUCAUCCUUUUUGUCUGAAGUAGGCAGCAUCAAUCUCUCUAGUCAGGGGUAUCAAGGUUGUAAUCUUUCUUUUUCAUUUUUCCAUAUUCUUUUCUUCAUCUCUGCCCCCAUGUAAAAUCUUUUAUUGAUUUAUUAUUAUUAUUUUUUGGAGAUUCAAAUCUGUAAAGUCCAUCCUUGUUGUGAGGGGCAAAGCAAAGGAAAUAUCUUUGUUGUUUUGUGUAUUCUUUGGUGAUACCAAUAUUGGUUUUUAUUUAGUUCUUUUUGCCAUAAUGGGCAGCAAGUUUCAUAGGAAGUUUAAGACAUGCACAGUGUCAUUGUUGUUUUGUGGUUGAGGCAUUGCUCUCUCCACUCAAUUUUUAUUGUAUAA
rnacentral:misc_RNA from 1 species